rfam:Hypholoma sublateritium FD-334 SS-4 unplaced genomic scaffold scaffold_3, whole genome shotgun sequence.
GGCAACGUGGCCGAGUGGUCUAAGGCGCUGGAAUUAGGUCAUCCGUUUAGGAAAGCUUCUAUCCAGUCCGAAAGGGCGCGAGUUCGAACCUCGCCGUUGUCA